AGACCGUUCAUUCACUGGUUGCCGAGAUUACACAUCGGUCCUGUCUAAGUUUCGGAGCUGCAAACUUCACGCUAGCGAGUUAUUUAUCAUAUCUGAGGACAACAGAUGACAAUAAUGGAGACUCAACCAAAACUUGCUGUAAUGGUAACAGUGGUCCAGAGCCUGUGCCAGAGGGGAUGCCAGUCUAACAUGGAAAAAAAAAACACCCAGAAUACAACAUUUCACCAGAGUAAAAGGAAAUAUCCAAAGAGGGUUAUGGGGAGCCGGAGCCUAACCCGACAACAGAGGGCAUAAGGCUGGAGGGGGAGGGGACACACCCAGGACGGGACACCAGUCCAUUGCAAGGCACCCCCAGCGAGACUCAAACCCCAAACCCAGCGGAGACCAGGACCCGGUCCAACCCACUGUACCACUGAGCCCCCC
rnacentral:lncRNA from 1 species